CAAGGCCCGCCUAUUCAU
rnacentral:tRNA from 1 species